UUAGAUNCCCUAUUAUUAAGGAGGGCAGAAUCUAGUAGGCGCAGAAAGGCUGAGUAGUUAAGAAGCAUGGCGGUCUGUUGGCAAGAUAGAGGGAUAUGUCUAACAAGUGAAACUGCACAGAUUUCUUACUUCCUCUGGAUAUCAACCAUCUUGUACACCGCUAUCUGAAAUGUGGGACAGAUCGUCCUGUUUUCCCUUGAUUGUUUUUAAUAUAUAUAUUUGUGUAUAGAAUAAUAAAUAAAUUAAUCUUUAGGACCUAUAAGUUAAGUUGAGGUGCAGACUAUGGGGAAGCAGAAGAUGUAUUCCAGUAAUAGUGGUUGAAGUGAUAGAUGUAGAUAAUGUUGAUUACAUUUAGAAUUUAUAAGUAAAUAGAGCUCACAAAUCUCCUUUGAAAGGUGCAACAAUAGAUGUACACAUCGCCCGUCGCUC
rnacentral:rRNA from 1 species